AAUGAACGCUGGCGGCAUGCCUAAUACAUGCAAGUCGAGCGAACGGACGAAAAGCUUGCUUCUCUGAUGUUAGCGGCGGACGUGUGAGUAACACGUUGAUAACCUACCUAUAAGACUGGGAUAACUUCGGGAAACCGGAUCUAAUACCGGAUAAUGUUUUGAACCGCAUGGUUCAAAAGUGAAAGACGGUCUUGCUGUCACUGAUAGAUGGAUACGCGCUGCAUUAGCAAGUUGGUAAGGUAACGGUUUACCAAGACAACGAUGAAUAGCCGCCCUGAGAGGGUGAUCGGCCACACUGGAACUGAGACAAGGUCCAGACUCCUAAGGGAGGCAGCAGUAGGGAAUCUUCCGCAAUGGGCGAAAGCCUAACGGAGCAACGCCGCGUGAGUCAUGAAGGUCUUCAGAUAGUAAAACUCUGUUAUUCGGGAAGAACAUAUGUGUAAGUAACUGUGAACAUCUUGACGUUACCUAAACAGAAAGCCACGGCUAACUACGUG
rnacentral:rRNA from 1 species